GACGAACGCUGGCGGCGUGCCUAAUACAUGCAAGUCGAGCGGACAGAAGGGAGCUUGCUCCCGGAAGUUAGCGGCGGACGGGUGAGUAACACGUGGGCAACCUACCCUGUAGAUCGGGAUAACAUCGAGAAAUCGGUGCUAAUACCGGAUAAUCAUUUGAAGUGCAUGCUUCGAAUGUAAAAGAUGGCUCCGGCUAUCACUACGGGAUGGGCCCGCGGCGCAUUAGCUAGUUUGUAAGGUAAUGUCUUACCAAGGCAACGAUGCGUAGCCGACCUGGGGCAGUGAUCGGCCAAACUGAGACGAGCAAACGGCCCAGACUCCUACGGGAUGCAGAGGUAGGGAAUCUUCAGCAAUGGACGAAAGUCUGACUGAGCAACGCCGAGUAAGUGAUGAAGGUUUUCGGAUCGUAAAGCUCUGUUGUUAGGGAAGAACAAGUGCCGUUUGAAUAAGGCGGCACCUUUACGGUACCUAACCAGAAAGCCACGGCUAACUACGUGCCAGCCGCCGCAGUAAAAC
rnacentral:rRNA from 1 species